rnacentral:tRNA from 1 species
GGGGGUGUAGCUCAUAUGGUAGAGCGCUCGCUUUGCAUGCGAGAGGCACUGGGUUCGAUUCCCCGCACCUCCA